CCUACGGGUGGCUGCAGUGGGGAAUAUUGCACAAUGGGGGAAACCCUGAUGCAGUGACGCCGCGUGAAGGAAGAAGUAUUUCGGUAUGUAAACUUCUAUCAGCAGGGAAGAAAAUGACGGUACCUGACUAAGAAGCCCCGGCUAACUACGUGCCAGCAGCCGCGGUAAUACGUAGGGGGCAAGCGUUAUCCGGAUUUACUGGGUGUAAAGGGAGCGGAGGCGGUUAUGCAAGUCAGAAGUGAAAGCCCGCAGCUCAACUGCGGGACUGCUUUUGAAACUGUAUGACUAGAUUGCAGGAGAGGUAAGUGGAAUUCCUAGUGUAGCGGUGGAAUGCGUAGAUAUUAGGAGGAACACCAGUGGCGAAGGCGGCUUACUGGACUGUAAAUGACGCUGAGGCUCGAAAGCGUGGGGAGCAAACAGGAUUAGAUACCCUUGUAGUC
rnacentral:rRNA from 1 species